rnacentral:snRNA from 1 species
AAUUCCGUCCAAGGCUAA